rnacentral:rRNA from 1 species
GACGAACGCUGGCGGCGCGCCUAACACAUGCAAGUCGAACGGAGCUAUUUCGAUAGAUCCUCGGGUGACAUUGGCUUAGCUUAGUGGCGAACGGGUGAGUAACACGCGAGGAACCUGCCCUUCAGAGGGGGACGAACAGUUGGAAACGACUGCUAAUACCGCAUAAUGUGUUUUGGGGGUCGAUCCCUGAAAUACCAAAGAUUUAUCGCUGAAAGAUGGGCUCGCGUCUGAUUAGCUAGUUGGUGGGGUAACGGCCUACCAAGGCGACGAUCAGUAGCCGGACUGAGAGGUUGAACGGCCACAUUGGGACUGAGAUACGGCCCAG